GAUUCAUGUACUUUUAUGUUGAGGUAAGUGAUUGAAGAACGAUCAAGGUGAAUCAAAGUAUGGGGUUAUGCAGAGAGCCGUGACCAAGUGUGUAGCCUUGGAGUUUAUAUAUUUGGUGAUUCAAGAGUUAAAAUGUUUUGCAGGUAGCGAGAAUCGAGUUUCAGUUCAGGUUCAAGUGAUUGAAGAACGAUCAAGGUGAAUCAAAGUAUGGGGUUAUGCGGAGAGCCGUGACCAAGUGUGUAGCCUUGGAGUUUAUAUAUUUGGUGAUUCAAGAGUUAAAAUGUUUUGCAGGUAGCGAGAAUCGAGUUUCAGUUCAGGUUCAAGGUGCGUAGAGUCCUCCAGAUGUCUUAUAUGUUCCAAGGCGGGUUAUGGAUUCUCCAAGUAUAUUUAAGUCUUUCCCAACUUGUUAAUGGAUUGUAUUA